rnacentral:piRNA from 1 species
UAACUGGAUGUGAAUUACCAGCUGUGAAGA